UGGUCUGGGGAGAGCACACCAGGAAGGAGAUGAGAAAGCUUCGGAGGACAGCAGCAGGUGCUUCCCCUCAUCCCAUCCCCACACAAAGAUCUGGGUUCCAGCUCCAACGCUGCCUCCAGAUGUUCAACUGUUUUUGGGCCAGUGGUCUAACCUCUCUGGGCUUUAGCUUCAUCAUCAUCUCUUGUCAGAUGUGCUCUGCCUACCUCUCAGGACUGGACUGCUGAGUGGAGGGUUAUAAGACAGAGCUCUUUCACUGGGGUGGAUGCAUCAUGCAAAGAUGGUAGACACAACUUGUAUUUAAAAGACCUGGCUCCAAUUUCAGACUCUAACCUGUGCUUACAGGCUUUACAACAAUUCUAAGAUGCAACAAGAAGCUAAGGCUAAGGAGGGGAGAGAGACAGACAGACAGACAGACAGAAGUGGUCUGUGAACCUAGUGGCUUCUGCAGACUUCCAGCAUUGGUAGAUGGAGAAAAUCCAGCAUAAAACUUGAAGUCCCUAGAAGAUGGUGAAGCCACAAGACAGGAGACACCUGGGUUUUUGAAUCGCCACUUCGACAAACACCCAUUUGGGCCUUAUACAAGGGAAAAAUGAUCCAUGAUGUUAAACCACCAAGAUUUGAGUUGUAUGUUACACCAACUGUUGUAUUACAGAUCCAGUAAAAAGAGAUCCAUCAGUGUUUCA